UCGCCGUCAAUUAAGCCAACUGGGUGUCUUUGCUGGUGGGUGCCCAGUGUACAGUGGUUGCAGACAGCAACCUCCUAUGUAGUGUACACAGCCUAUUGCUUGUAUGGGCUGCCCCAAGGGACCUUGACGACAUUG
ensembl:snoRNA SNORA70 Small nucleolar RNA SNORA70